rnacentral:rRNA from 1 species
UAAUACGAAGGGUGCUAGCGUUGUUCGGAAUCACUGGGCGUAAAGCGCGCGUAGGCGGCGUAACAAGUCAGAGGUGAAAGCCUGGAGCUCAACUCCAGAACUGCCUUUGAAACUGUUAUGCUAGAGUGUCGGAGGGGAUAGCGGAAUUGCUAAUGUAGAGGUGAAAUUCGUAGAUAUUAGCAGGAACACCGGUGGCGAAGGCGGCUAUCUGGACGACAACUGACGCUGAGGCGCGAAAGCGUGGGGAUCAAACAGG